rnacentral:rRNA from 1 species
GAUUAGCUAUUGGUAGGGUAAGGGCCUACCAAGGCGACGAGGGAGCUGGUUUGAGAGGAUGGCCGCCCACUGGGCUGAGACACGGUGAGACUCCUACGGGAGGCAGCAGUGGGGAAUAUUGGACAAUGGGGGGAACCCAGAUCCAGCAAUGCCGCGUGUGUGAAGAAGGCCUGAGGGUUGUAAAGCACUUUCAGUGGGGAGGAGUGUUUGUUAGGUUAAGAGCUAAUGAACAGGACCUUACCCACAGAAGAAGCACCGGCUAACUCCGUGCCAGCAGCCGCGGUAAUACGGAGGGUGCGAGCGUUAAUCGGAAAUUACUGGGCGUAAAGGGUGCGGCGGGGGAUGAAUAAGUUAUCUGUGAAAUUCCUGGGCUUAACCUGGGCCGGUCAGCAUAAUACUUGUUUAACUCGAGUACCCCAGAGGGUAGUGGAAUUUCCGGUGUAGCGGUGAAAUGCGUAGAGAUCGGAAGGAACACCAGUGGCGAAGGCGGCUACCUGGCCUAAUACUGACACUGAGGCACGAAAACUGGGGAGCUUCUUCCUUAGAUACCCUGGUAGUCCACGCUGUAAACGAUGUCAACUAGCUGUUGG